UGGCGGACGGGUGAGCAACGCGUGGGUAACCUGCCUCAUACAGGGGGAUAACAGUUAGAAAUGACUGCUAAUACCGCAUAAGACCACGGAGCCGCAUGGCUCAGUGGGAAAAACUCCGGUGGUAUGAGAUGGACCCGCGUCUGAUUAGGUAGUUGGUGGGGUAACGGCCUACCAAGCCGACGAUCAGUAGCCGACCUGAGAGGGUGACCGGCCACAUUGGGACUGAGACACGGCCCAA
rnacentral:rRNA from 1 species